rnacentral:lncRNA from 10 species
AUCAUAAAGCAUAUGAAAACAGGCAACACCAAUAAAAUAUUCUCAAGUAACAUAGUCAGUUAUGUGGAAAAGUAAGGAAGGCCACAAGCGAGGGUGCAAUGUUGGAGAGAUCCACAUGAUAAAAUAUAGCCAACAGCCAGCUAGGAAAUGAUAUUUUCAAUCUAUCAACCCUUGAAAAACUGAAUUCUGGCCAAUUUAUCCAGUUGGAAGAUCUUUCCCCAGUAGAGCCUUCAGAUGAGACCCUAGCCCUGGCCAAAACCUUGAAUGCAUCAUAAAAAACCCUGAAGCAGAAGAUCCAGUGAAGUCAUACCCAGACUCUUGACCUAACCAAAGUGUAAUGUAAUAAAU